UGUGUGGUAUGUGAAUUAGAUCGCAAUAAGGCUGUUACCGAAAAAAAAAAAAAGGAGGACACGAGUGGCAGCGGCUGUGCCCCUGGGGCCCCGGGGAAAGGCCUGCUGUGGAGUCGCGACUCCCACGGCCUCCUUCUCUUGUGCAAAUGGCAGCUCAGAGGAGGAGCUUUGGACUGGAGUCAGCAGCUUGCUGUGUGUGCUGGGGCGAACCUACGCCCUCUCUGAGCCUCCGUCUCUCCCCUGAGAUGUAAUGCAGGAGGCGGCCGCGGUGCACGGAGGAGCCAGGGAGCCCCACGGCAGGAUUGUGUGUGAGGUCCGUAGCCCGGACCCUGGCCGGACAGCGGCGGAGGUAGGACGUCCCCACGGCUUCCGGCUCUGAGGGAGGAGGCAACCCCCUCGUGCUCUGUCUUCUAACGUCCCGGAGCCCGAGGGUUUUGAAACUGCGGAGAAUGACAGCAAAUUACCAGCUAAAAGCCCUGGGUUGUUGGAGGUGGGAAAGACAAGCCCUGGGAGCAGCUCAAGCCCACGGACACUCCUCAAGCCUGGAACACGUACUCUUUCCCCACCCCUGCCCGUGCUCCAAGGGGAUCUCAUGCCAAUUAGAAAAAGACACCCCUUCCUCCAGGAAGAAGCAGCUUCAUGCCAGGGGCAGGGGUUCAGCCCCCACCCAUCCCUUAGCCAAGAGCACUUGAGCAGUGAACAACAUACACAACUAUACCGUGGUCUCAUGGCCGUGUACCUGUAAACCACCCCCCACCCCCCACCCACAACCGGAUGCCUGGUCUCACAGCAAGUGGCUGUGUCUUUCCUCCAUGGUGGUUUGUGCUGAGUCAAGUGGCCUGGCAGGAAACUUGCUUCCUGGAAUCUCCUCUCCUCUAGGAGUCUGAGUUAGAAUUCGCCGGUGGAGAAAUCUGUGCUUGGAGGGCCACCAUGGCUAGCGAUGGGAGGGACGGACACAGAAGUGCCAGCGGGGGCCAGCUUGUCCCCAUUCCUUCUUCUACAUGUCCUCCUCCUGACCCGCGGCCAGUGCUCCCUCCAGACUGCUGGCCCUGCUGACUCACAGUGACCCAGUAUUUCCACCGGAUGCUUGGCUGUGAUCUCACCGAGUGGAGGCUGCAAAGACAAGGCGGCCUUCCCUAGACUUCUGUAGGUGUCUACACUGGCCCCGGCCUCCCACGCCAGCUGCUGGACCCGCCUGACUUCCAGCUUGUCCACGAGCUCCGCUGGUGCCUCUGCUACAGAGGGCUGGCUGGUGACGGUCCCCGGGUCCCCGUAAAACUUCCCGCUUUGGACCUUUACUUCCCAGACCCUCCCCCGGGGCAGUAAGGCUAAUUGCUGUGCUAUAAAACUCACAGUGGCUCUGCGGCUGAUGGAGCCCGAAUGUGUGCACCGUUACCCGCAUCAGAGCAAGCAGGGGGCGCCCCAUGCCUGCCUCCCUCCUCUGCCCCCAGGCCACCUCCUGUCGGCUGUACCCCGUUACUGACCCUCGAAUCAGUGCCCUUCCCACUGAGGCGCCCCCCGCUCCAGGCAUCUCCCUUCUUACCGGCACCAUUUCACCAGACUCCUGGUUUUCUAGUUCUGGUCCAGCUCUGCGUCUGUGGCCAGCGACUGCUUCCUACUUCUCUCCGCCCCGAAUGUCUCUGCAGCUGUCAGUCGUACACAGGGACCACGGCCCUUACCUGGUGUCCCAGCCUCCCUGCAGCGUCUCCACUCACCACCUUCACAGACAAGUCCCGCCGUUUCCUUGUUCCUAUGUCAGCCACACCGAAUGCCCCCCUACCCCCCCACCCCCAGUGAUCUUUCUGGAAAAAUCGAGAGGCAAAGGCAGUGUCCCGCAGACAGGCUGUCUGAAUCCCCCCUCCCCACCCCGUGCCUGGCCUCCCUUCUCCGUCUGGAGAACUUCUACUCAUCCUUCAAAACCUCAGCUUCGGUGUCCCCUCUCCUCACUCGUUCCCAUGGCUGCGCCGUCCCUGGCAGGAGGGGCCGGCCCGGCUCCGUUCUCAUCUUCUUCCCCAUCGGCCCCAGAAGCAGCCUCAGCCGUGCCAACGAUGACCAUCCACUUUGGGUUUCGAGGUUUGGAAGAUGUGCUCAAUCCACGUUGCUUGGAGGGACUCAGGGACUCAGCGAGGGGAAUCCUGCAGGGCCCCCUUACCGGGGUGGAAGCCGAGACGAGGCCUGGAUCUGGAUCUCUGUGACCCGAGCUCGGGGCCCCGAGACGCCCAGAGCACGUGGCUGGGCUGAGCUCGGGGGGUGGUGCCCCCGGCGUCCGGCCCGCGGGGCUGGGGGGUUCGGGUCUGGCCUGUGGUGACUGGUUCUGCCCAGGCCGUGCCGGAAGAAGCAGAGCCGGAAGAGGAUCCUGUGUGCAUAGCGCUGCCCAGCACAGCCUCUGCAGCCGAGGCAGGGGACUGCUCGGCCCUCUCCUGGCUCCUCUACACCCUGGACCGUGUGCACUUGGCCGGUCACUUGCUGUGUCUCCACUUACUCCUCUGCACAGUGGGGCGAUAGCAGUCUGCUUCCAGAGGGUUACCCGAGUGUGACCCGAGUUACCGUAUGUGCUACGGCACCAGGGCUAUGGGAGUAAGGGCUCUAUGUUCUGCCUUCCUGGCCUCCUCCGUGCGUCAUUUUCUCCAGUGACCUGGGGCCUGUCCCCUCCCUCUGUGCCUUGAGUCACCAUGUCAGGUGGGGACCCUGGCCGCUGAGGGGGGGGGGGGGCCCGGGAGCCCAAAGCCCCGCUCCGACGAUGUCCCGGCAGAAGCAGAUUCCGGGCUGUCUGACGUUUGACUCGGGCUCUCGUGUGGGUUUUAUCAGAAUCAACAGGUUUUGUUGUGCAGUUCACAAUCUCAGCAUCUCUGAUUUAUCGCCCAACAAAUUGGAGAGGAUUUAGCGUGCAUUUAAUUAAUUUGACGAAAGUAGUUCAACAACUGUAAACCGGGCUGUGGAAACACGCUUGCCGGGAAGCGGGGGCCCGGCUCCUCGAGGGCUCAGGGCGGGCGCCGGUUUGAGGCUGAAACGUGGUCUCUGCAGGGCAGGGAGAGGGGGCCCAGGGGGGAGGCGGGGCCCGGAGCAGUGGGCCGGGGUGGGGGGAGGCGGGAGAGCUGGGCAGAGGCAGGAGGCCUGGGGACAGUGUGGUCACAGACCCCCUGGGAGCUGUGGUUCCUCGGGCCCUCGAAGGGAUGGUGACCUCUGCCCUCUUUCCCGCUCAGGGGACCCCGUGAGGGUUUCCAGGGGCAAUGGGU